GACGAACGCUGGCGGCGUGCUUAACACAUGCAAGUCGAACGGAAAGGCCCUGCUUUUGUGGGGUGCUCGAGUGGCGAACGGGUGAGUAACACGUGAGUAACCUGCCCUUGACUUUGGGAUAACUUCAGGAAACUGGGGCUAAUACCGGAUAGGAGCUCCUGCUGCAUGGUGGGGGUUGGAAAGUUUCGGCGGUUGGGGAUGGACUCGCGGCUUAUCAGCUUGUUGGUGGGGUAGUGGCUUACCAAGGCUUUGACGGGUAGCCGGCCUGAGAGGGUGACCGGCCACAUUGGGACUGAGAUACGGCCCAGACUCCUACGGGAGGCAGCAGUGGGGAAUAUUGCACAAUGGGCGGAAGCCUGAUGCAGCAACGCCGCGUGCGGGAUGACGGCCUUCGGGUUGUAAACCGCUUUCGCCUGUGACGAAGCGUGAGUGACGGUAAUGGGUAAAGAAGCACCGGCUAACUACGUGCCAGCAGCCGCGGUGAUACGUAGGGUGCGAGCGUUGUCCGGAUUUAUUGGGCGUAAAGGGCUCGUAGGUGGUUGAUCGCGUCGGAAGUGUAAUCUUGGGGCUUAACCCUGAGCGUGCUUUCGAUACGGGUUGACUUGAGGAAGGUAGGGGAGAAUGGAAUUCCUGGUGGAGCGGUGGAAUGCGCAGAUAUCAGGAGGAACACCAGUGGCGAAGGCGGUUCUCUGGGCCUUUCCUGACGCUGAGGAGCGAAAGCGUGGGGAGCGAACAGGCUUAGAUACCCUGGUAGUCCACGCUGUAAACGGUGGGUACUAGGUGUGGGGUCCAUUCCACGGGGUCCGUGCCGUAGCUAACGCUUUAAGUACCCCGCCUGGGGAGUACGGCCGCAAGGCUAAAACUCAAAGGAAUUGACGGGGCCCCGCACAAGCGGCGGAGCAUGCGGAUUAAUUCGAUGCAACGCGUAGAACCUUACCUGGGUUUGACAUGGAUCGGGAGCGCUCAGAGAUGGGUGUGCCUCUUUUGGGGUCGGUUCACAGGUGGUGCAUGGCUGUCGUCAGCUCGUGUCGUGAGAUGUUGGGUUAAGUCCCGCAACGAGCGCAACCCUUGUUCACUGUUGCCAGCACGUUAUGGUGGGGACUCAGUGGAGACCGCCGGGGUCAACUCGGAGGAAGGUGGGGAUGACGUCAAGUCAUCAUGCCCCUUAUGUCCAGGGCUUCACGCAUGCUACAAUGGCUGGUACAGAGAGUGGCGAGCCUGUGAGGGUGAGCGAAUCUCGGAAAGCCGGUCUCAGUUCGGAUUGGGGUCUGCAACUCGACCUCAUGAAGUCGGAGUCGCUAGUAAUCGCAGAUCAGCAACGCUGCGGUGAAUACGUUCCCGGG
rnacentral:rRNA from 1 species